CUGUCUCGCUCCCUUUCGACCGCGAGGCGCUGGUCCCUGCAAGUGUGGUGCACGUGCUCUCCCAUCAAACUCAUAACUCACUAUACACGAUGUCUGGAUGUGCUGUAGAUGCAGGAGGAAGAUGUUCUGACCUUCAUUGAAGCAGGAACCAACCAGGCUCUCAGAUGGAGCAGCAUCUGCAAGAGAUACUGACAGUAGUGUGUACUUUACAAUGCGAGGAAGGCUUGGGAACGGCCAGAGCCAUUUGGUGCUUCUUGAACCUGGGCAUGUUGGCAUCCUCUCCUCCAGGAAUACAGAGCAGGUGUGGUGUCUGUGACUCAGGAUGCCUCUGGAGGGAGAGGUCUGACAUCUCCUGGUAGCUUAUGAAGUCACACCUGUUCUCUACUUCUACAGGAGAUUUGGAGGAGGGGUGUUGUGACCA